rnacentral:rRNA from 1 species
GACGAACGCUGGCGGCGUGCUUAACACAUGCAAGUCGAACGGAAAGGCCCUGCUUUUGUGGGGUGCUCGAGUGGCGAACGGGUGUGUAACACGUGAGUAACCUGCCCUUGACUUUGGGAUAACUUCAGGAAACUGGGGAUAAUACAGGAUAGGAGCUCCUGCUGCAUGGUGGGGGUUGGAAAGUUUCGGCGGUUGGGGAUGGACUCGCGGCUUAUCAGCUAGUUGGUGGGGUAGUGGCGUACCAAGGCUUUGACGGGUAGCCGGCCUGAGAGGGUGACCGGCCACAUUGGGACGGAGAGACGGCCCAGACUCCUACGGGAGACAGCAGUGGGGAAUAUUACAAAAUGGGCGGAAGCCUGAUGCAGCAACGCCGCGUGCGGGAUGACGGCCUUCGGGUUGGAAACCGCUUUCGCCUAUGACGAAGCGUGAGUGACGGUAAUGAGUAAAGAAGCACCGGCUAACUACGUG